UCAGAUCUUAGAGCUCUAAGUUGAAACCAUUGUUUCAUACCUGAGCUAUUUGGUCUUGAUUAGCACUCGGGGACCCUCCCUUUUGGUCAAUGUGAAGUUCAUGGAACUUCAUAACGUGCUGUCUUGAAAUGAUUGUUGAUGCAUGCUACAUUUAGGAUGGACUCGUGCCUUAGCAACUUUAAAACUUGGAAGAUCAUAGUUGUACUUAUGUGAUUGUAAUAGAACAACGAGUUCAUUUAAUCAAUAAAACAAUAUU
rnacentral:lncRNA from 1 species